rnacentral:lncRNA from 1 species
AAUCAAUACUAUGAUCCUAUAACGACAACUAAAGUUAUUUAAAGACAAAUUAUACUAGUCAAUUAAUUUUUUAAACCAUCCUUCAUUUCAUAAACAAACCAUGCUAACACCAAACAAUCUCUACAACCAUAUGUCAUCUUAUAUCAAAUCAUGUCAAUUCUAAUAAUUUCUACAACCACAUGUUCUCGUAUAUCAAACCAUGUCAAUCCCAAGAAUCUCCAUAAUCGUAUAUCAUCUCCCGUACUUUCUCGCACCAAACUUGUUUACCAAAUAGGGCGACUUGAGUCAUCUUCCACCGUAGUUUUGAACCUAUCUUCC